rnacentral:rRNA from 1 species
UGGGGAAUUUUGGACAAUGGGGGAAACCCUGAUCCAGCAACGCCGCGUGGGUGAUGAAGGCCUUCGGGUCGUAAAGCCCUGUUGAGGGGGAAGAAGAUCUGCGUUAACAGCGCAGAUUUGACGUUACCCCUUGAGGAAGCACCGGCUAACUCUGUGCCAGCAGCCGCGGUAAUACAGAGGGUGCGAGUGUUGUUCGGAAUUAUUGGGCGUAAAGGGCGCGUAGGCGGUUUAGUAAGUCGGGUGUGAAAUCCCUGGGCUUAACCCAGGAACUGCAUCUGAAACUGCUAAGCUAGAGUGCGAUAGAGGAGAGCGGAAUUCCCGGUGUAGAGGUGAAAUUCGUAGAUAUCGGGAGGAACACCAGUGGCGAAAGCGGCUCUCUGGGUCGACACUGACGCUAAGGCGCGAGAGCAUGGGGAGCAAACAG